UGCUGGAGUCUGUAGCUCAGUGGUUAGAGCCCUUGCCUGGCAAGCGAGAGACCUGGGUUUGAUUCCCAGCAGGGCAA